rnacentral:rRNA from 1 species
UCAAGAGUACGUGAAACCGCUUAGGGGUUAAGCCCGAUGAACCUGAAUAUCUGAAUUGAGAAAUUCAAUAUUAUUCUAACAAGGAUAGUAUGCACUUUUCUCAUAGUAAGACAUUGCGAUCCAUUAGUAUAAUCUCAUUGAGAUAAUUUAUCAUAAGACCCAUAUAGUUUAGUUUAAUUAUUUUAUAAUAAAUUUAUUUAUUAUAUGAAUUAAUACUGUUGUGGUGAUCUGAUAAAUAACUGAUGGAACUUAACAAUCAUGCAACCAUGCAUAUGUAUCACGGUUUAAAAUAUAUUUAUAUGUUUUGAAUGCAGUGAUAGCAUGUAUUUGAUUAGCAAUGCGAUAGAUUUGGGAUACCUUCGGGACCCGUCUUGAAACACGGACCAAGAAGUCUAACAUGUGUGUAAGUCAUUGGGUAUUUAGUUGAAACCUAAAGGCGAAAUUAAAAUAACUAUUUUAAUGGGAUUACAAGUAAUUUAUAUUGAUUACUUCUCCAUCCCGGGGCGUUCUAAUUAAACAUGUUUUAAGCAAUUAAAUCCUCUGUUUAAGAGCGUACCUUGAACAUACAUGCUGUGACCCGAAA